GUGCUAGCGUUGGCAGCACAUAUACUAAAAUUGAAACAGCGCAGAGAUUAGCAUGUCCUCUGUGCAAGACUAACAUGCAAUUUUGUGAAGUAUCCAUAUUUUUA
ensembl:snRNA Gm24234 U6 spliceosomal RNA